AUUGAACGCUGGCGGCAGGCCUAACACAUGCAAGUCGAGCGGAUGAAGGGGGCGUGCUCCUGGAUGCAGCGGCGGACGGGUGAGUAAUGCCUAGGAAGCUGCCUGGUAGUGGGGGAUAACGUCCGGUAACGGGCGCUAAGACCGCAUACGUCCUGAGGUAGAAAGUGGGGGAUCCUCGGAGCUCACGCUAUCAGAUGAGCCUAGGUCGGAUUAGCUAGUUGGUGGGGUAAAGGCCUACCAAGGCGACGAACCGUAACUGGUCUGAGAGGAGGAUCAGUCACAAUGGAACUGAGACACGGUCCCGAAUCCUACGGGAGGCAGCAGUUGGGAAUAUUUGCGCAUGGGCGAAAGCCUGAUCCAGGCAUGGCGGGGGUGUGAAGAAGGUUUUCGGAUUGUAAAACAUCUUAAGUUGGGAGGAAGGGUAGUAAGUUAAUACCUUGCUGUUUUGAAGUUACCAACAGAAUAAGGCCCGGCUAACUUCGUG
rnacentral:rRNA from 1 species